rnacentral:antisense_RNA from 1 species
UUAUUUUGUAGGCUGCGCUCCUCCAAGCCAGUUACCUCGGUUCAACGAGCGCCAACUCCAUAAACCUUUGAAAAACCGCCCACCAAGGCGGUUUUUUCGU